rnacentral:rRNA from 1 species
GUACAUUCCUACAACAUAGUGUUAAUGUACUAGAUCCCAUUAGAACUUCGUAGUUAAGCCGCUUGAAAUAGAGUAGUACUAGGAUGAGUGACUUCCUAGGAAGUCCUAGUAUUUUACA